rnacentral:rRNA from 1 species
UACGUAGGGCGCAAGCGUUGUCCGGAAUUAUUGGGCGUAAAGGGCGCGUAGGCGGCCCGGUAAGUAGGGGGUGAAAUCCUGCGGCUUAACCGCAGGGCUGCCUUCUAAACUGUCGGGCUCGAGCACGGUAGAGGCAGAUGGAAUUCCCGGUGUAGCGGUGGAAUGCGCAGAUAUCAGGAGGAACACCAAUAGCGAAGGCAGCUCGCUGGGACGUUACUGACACUGAGGCGCGAAAGCGUGGGGAGCGAACAGG